UUUGUCAACUUUGGUUUUUUAGUUGCAAUAGCCUUUGUACUCCACGUAAUGACAGGUAUGUAGUAAACAGGUGGCGUCCACCUGAGGCAUGCGGAGCAUUGCCGCAGGCAUUUCGCGGUUGAUCUAUCCGGCUGCUUCCUUUCCAGUGGCAGUGUAUUUCUUGCCUCCAAGGAAGCAGCGCUAGGAGGGACGCGCACUUGCGUUACGGACACAACCCUAUUCAAAGAAAGAACCGUCUCGAAAUCGUCGGGCCACGCCAACGUGGCAGUUUACGUUAGAAAAACGUGAAGCCGCCUGUGCACGCACAGCGCCUCACGCUCCCGAUGUGACGACGUCCAACGCAUGGGGAAGAACCGGCGACAGGGCUUGGAUGCAUUCCCGAACAGCCUGUGGGCUCCCCGGCAGUCCAAAGACCAACGCUCGAGCACCGCAGUCGCAAACAGACUGCGCAUCUGGUUGAUCUCCGGUUCCUGGCUCCACAACGUCAUGUGGAGUCCACCCAGCGGGCAGUUGCUUUCCGUGACAUUCGCCUGCCUGUGUGGCCCACGCGUCGCGGGAUCUGUGCACAUCUUUAGCCGCCUGUCUUGUGCAUGUGACAAUACCUGCACAUGGGCGGCCUAGUGCCGCCAUUGGGGUGCACGUGAGAGACUCUUGCAUGAGCAAAUGCUCGAGGCCGCUACAUCGAACUGAGAAGAGCGGCAGCAAAGACUGCGGGGUGACGUCACGUACAGAAAGGCCCGUUCCACCGCAAACGAAGAUGAGACACGGGCGGACGGUCUGGUCCGCUGGCUCGUCGCCACAUAUCGCGUUACCAGAACCCAUGGCCUGCGAUCGAGGAUUCGUGUAUCGACAAACAAGGGACAGGACUGCUUCCUGAAUUGCGUCCCGUUCAUCUGGGACCACCCGAGUCGCGAAGUGGCCUCCGUGAACGAGUUCCCUCUCCGUCCCGACAGUUUUUUCGCUCUCGACUGGAUCUCCGUUGAGGUGCACGAGCUCGGCGAGCCCAGGAGAGGACCGAAGGGUGGUCAGCGCCGCCUCAACGCAGGCGUCCUUCAUGGUGCCCCCAGAACACCGGUCGGAAACGACAACAACGCCAAGAAAGCACGUGCGUUUUUCUGGCGCCUUGCCCAGCGCAUGGCGAUGGGAGUGAUGCUUCGUGAGGACGGCCGUCUGUCCACGGUCGCCUGUCCUCGAUCGAGUGUCCUGCCCUAGACUGCUUCCCGAGGUGGACGUUCUCUGGGCACUCGCGGGCCAGAAGUCAGACGCGUGGACGCCAGCCUGCUGGGGUCGUAUGCGUUCGGAAGCCUCGCGGCUACGCGACUCUCCGCACCUGCAACGACCGACUGAGUAGCUCAAAGAGGACUCUCUUUCAAUACCGGCUGGCCGGCCUUGGGCGCGUUGCUGUCGCUCUUCCUGCAGCGUGAGGAGCUUCAGAAGCAUCUUUGGUGGAGCCGGAAACGGAGCGCCGAGGAGCCACGCCCACAGGACCUCGCCCGCCUCGUGCCGAUCGCGCCCCGACCUUUGCGUAGGCGGCACCAAGAGAAGAGCGUUCGCGUUUCCGCAGCAGCUCAGCAGCCGCGAACUCUGCUGGUCGCCGGUGGGGACAGCGUGGAGGUAGACCUGUUGGAGCGCGGCCUGUGAGGCGGGAAGCGACCCGUUGCGAGCGUCAGAGGAAGCGAGCGCGCCUUCGCAGGUGGGCGGGAAAAGCGAGUGCGGAACGGGGAAGUCACACAGCGACGGCUGGGCGUCGGAGUGACGCCGGCAGUCAGUGCCAGCGUUGAAGUCAACGUAGACCAGGGACCGCUGGAACUCCGGUCGGCUCGGAUCAGGCCGCAGCGGGGCGGUAAGCCCAACGGGCAGCUGCGGCGGGAGGUGGCUAGAGAGCGAAGAAGAUGGAGAAAAAGAAGAGAAAAACUGCAGUGCAGGACCGACGAGAAGGUGAAAGAGGACCCACGAACUGCAGGGAUUUCCAGGCAGCCCAAACACGAGAAGUGUCCGACAAGGAGACGCGUCCGUCGCCGUGCCUUUCGCAGAUCCUUGAAGAUCCUCCGAAGAACUUCUGUACACGCGAAGCGAAGCAACGAUCGUCGGCUUGCCGGGUUUCACGUUCAGGCGUCCAAAGUGGAUCUCCGUGUCGACACGAAAGGAACAGCAGCCUCUCGCGCAGACCGGAAGCUGACGCUCUCCCGUCGUUUCAAGUUCCGCUGAGACGCGCCCACUCCCCAGAUUUCCCUGCCGCCCGUUCUGGCGCUCCUCCUGUCGCUUCUUUGUUUCCUCUUGCAACUGCAGAAGCGCAAGUUUGAUGCAGUCGCUGUCCCCCAUGGACACGCCGCCUGUCGUGAGAAGGACGUCGACUCCGGGGUCCACGUUCGGCCCGCCAGUCGCCCCCGAUCCACUCACGUGACUCUGAGCAUCGACCUCCGUGCACCACGAGCACUCGCAGCGGACUGCUUCACCUUGUUCCCCUUGCGCUCUCGGCUGCUCUUCAGACCAGUCCGCUGGCUUCCCCCGCCUUGUGCCUGUCGCGAGGUCGAUAAGGAGCGCACGGACAGCCGCCACAUCGUCAGGCAGAAAGUGCUGCGCGAGGACGCGGACGCUCGGACACCGGUCCGUGAUGAGAGCGGCCAGAGUCGGGGAGUUGCUGUCGUAGACCUCUGCUGGUGAUCUGGAGCCGUCGCCGAGGGAGAAACGCUUGUUGGCCAGCGCGGCUGCGGGCGAGAGCGGAGGCGAGGCGCCAGCUUGAGCCGUUUCCUCGCUUGACGCCGACGCCGCGGCCUGCGAACCUCUGCUUCUCCCGCAGAGCUCUUUCUCUUGCUUCGCCCGCUGCCCAGCUCCGGCUACUCUGCUCACCAACUCGUCGCCAAUGGCCAAUGUGUGCACGUUGAGACGCCUGUACACCUCGAGUCGCCGGAUGUCGAAACUCGCCAGCAAACCCUCCUCGGCAGGUCCCACCCGCUGGCCUUGCUCCAAGAGAGGCACACCUGCUGCAACGUCGCUGCCGAUCGCGCGAAUGUUCGCUCCAGGCCUGAGGGCCGCGACGGCAGUCGGGUCCGGAAUGCACAGAGAUCUCUCAAGGUCGACGACGCAGUCUUCCACCGGCACCACAGCCUGGAACUGAGCAGGGACAGGCGCUCCCGUGGUCACAUACACGCACGUCGAGUCGGCAGAAACGUCGUUCCACGCCUCUUCCUGACACCCGUUCGCGGAUUUCGCUCUCGACCGCGAUUCUUCUCGCUGCUUCCCUGAAGCGUCUCCGACUUCUGAAGCCUGAGGACUCUUUGGAAGUUGCUGGCCACGAAAAGGCACAGCUACGCCGCCUGCUCGGACCUUCUGCACAAUCCGAAGCGCCCGACAGGAUUCGUCCCGCGCGUCUGGGGCUCGCCCAUGAGAAAUCGAGACGCUCCGCGACGCCUGUCGAAGCCCGCCGGCGUCCGGCGUUAGGCGAAUGGCAUAGCCGUCCACAAGAGAGGCGCGAAACGCAGGAAAAGGCCGGGGAGCAAUCACAGAGGUGGCUACGCGACGGUCUAGAAACGGCGGGGAAAUGUAGCACGUCAGGGGAGGCUCGCCCACGCACGGGCCGCCGAGUCGCCUCGACGCAGUCUUCUGCGAAUCGCAAGUCUCCGCACGACUCUCUUUCUCCUGAUGUCGCGCGACUUCGUUCCCUCCGGGACAAGAGGAUGCGUACUCCUCGCUGUGUGGUGGACCUGCCGAAAGUUUGGUUUUGCCUCGAAGGAGAUUGAAUCGAUGCACGUGCGAGUGGAUAAGCCGCCGAACCUCGCAGUCGACGAGGAACUGAGCCUCGCUGAGCUCCAACAUGCGGAAGCUGCUUACCUCUCGAACGAGGCCGUGGCCAUUCAUCAGGCUCGUCUCGCCUUGGCCGAGGGCGGCGUCAUGAUUCAGGCAGGCCGAGGAAGGAGAGCGACUUGACGAUGCCGGGGUGAGUGGUCCUGGACUUGCAGCCGCGCGGCACUGCGCGCCUGCUUCUCCGAUGGCCAGUGAUUGUCCGGAGCCUGGCGGGCCUCGAUUCGCCGCGUCUUUUCUCUUUCCUUUUUGCCUCAUCUUUUCCCGGUCGUUCUCGCACGUGACACCUAAAAGCCGACGAACACGGGCGUGUCUUCUCGCUUGAAAGACGGACCAAACGGGACGUAGCAGGCCUCGUCACGCGAAUAUUUAAAAGACGCUGCCUCUCGAGGCCGCGCAGUGUAUCGCCUAGGCAGAUAUGUGAGUGUAUUUAUUGGCACAUGCACAUGUGGCUCUGUAGGCGCGCUCAUAAAGACAAGGACGGAAAGGGGGAAAGACUCCAGAAGGACUGUCAAUGUGGCUGUGAUGCUCGAGCCCUGAGCAGAGUCGGAAGUUUGGAAGGAAGCACGCGAAAACCUACGGGUAAUGUGGAUACGGAUAUUCCUUUAUAAAAUCACACUCUAUUGUUUCACAUUUUUAUUUUGUAGGACCUCUUGGAGAAAUACGAAAAAUCGGCAAGGACACGGAAGGCGGUAGCUCGACUUAAUCGACGAGUCGGCCGCUCGUAGCUGGGUCGGCAUUCACCAGCAUUUAGGUGACCCUACGGAUGUCUUGAUUUCUUCGAACUGGUUCACUAGUGAGCUUGGUUUUCAGGCCGCAAAGGGAAGACAUUGUCAACCGUCGACCUCACACCAGUGUCACAGAAGCAGCUCUGUCCAUUUCCAUUGCGUGACGAGAAGCCAAACGAAAGGAAAAAGAAAAAGGGGGAUCUCGGCGAAAGGAUGUGUAUGUGCGUGUGUGCUCGCGAAAUUUGGAGCCCGGGAUACGUCCUCACCACAAGAACCGAAGAGUGCGUCUCACCCCUUUUCGCGCAGCGGGGAGUCGCAGGGGUGUCUCCCGCCCCUUCCGGGCCACUCUCAAACAAACAAGAAGGACGGCCGAGAAUGAAAAAGCGCGCCUUUGUUGUUGCAGCAUUAUCUCAGCGGCACAGCAAACGAAUAGGAGAACAGGACUGUGGGAAGAAUAAAAUAUUUGUAUGCAUGUUUCGGUGGGCCGUUUUCCCCCCCGGGUAUGACGGCAAAGUGGGUCGCAGAGACAACUGAAGGCGGACGAUCCUGCCGCCUUCGCUCGCUUCCAACGAACAGAAAAACAUCGGCAACACACCGGCUGUGUUUCUUCCAUCAAACCUCGAGCCCUUUGCAUCCUCUCGCUUUCACGUGU
rnacentral:lncRNA from 1 species